GGGGAUUAGUGGCGAACGGGUGAGUAACACGUGGGCAAUCUGCCCUGCACUCUGGGACAAGCCCUGGAAACGGGGUCUAAUACCGGAUACUCACUGCCUUGGGCAUCCUUGGCGGUGGAAAGCUCCGGCGGUGCAGGAUGAGCCCGCGGCCUAUCAGCUAGUUGGUGAGGUAAUGGCUCACCAAGGCGACGACGGGUAGCCGGCCUGAGAGGGCGACCGGCCACACUGGGACUGAGACACGGCCCAGACUNAUACGGGAGGCAGCAGUGGGGAAUAUUGCACAAUGGGCGAAAGCCUGAUGCAGCGACGCCGCGUGAGGGAUGACGGCCUUCGGGUUGUAAACCUCUUUCAGCAGGGAAGAAGCGAGAGUGACGGUACCUGCAGAAGAAGCGCCGGCUAACUACGUGCCAGCAGCCGCGGUAAUACGUAGGGCGCAAGCGUUGUCCGGAAUUAUUGGGCGUAAAGAGCUCGUAGGCGGCUUGUCACGUCGGUUGUGAAAGCCCGGGGCUUAACCCCGGGUCUGCAGUCGAUACGGGCAGGCUAGAGUUCGGUAGGGGAGAUCGGAAUUCCUGGUGUAGCGGUGAAAUGCGCAGAUAUCAGGAGGAACACCGGUGGCGAAGGCGGAUCUCUGGGCCGAUACUGACGCUGAGGAGCGAAAGCGUGGGGAGCG
rnacentral:rRNA from 2 species